rnacentral:rRNA from 1 species
CCUACGGGUGGCAGCAGUGGGGAAUAUUGCACAAUGGGGGAAACCCUGAUGCAGCGACGCCGCGUGAGUGAAGAAGUAAUUCGUUAUGUAAAGCUCUAUCAGCAGGGAAGAAAAUGACGGUACCUGAGUAAGAAGCCCCGGCUAACUACGUGCCAGCAGCCGCGGUAAUACGUAGGGGGCAAGCGUUAUCCGGAUUUACUGGGUGUAAAGGGAGCGUAGACGGCAGUGCAAGUCUGGAGUGAAAGGCGGGGGCUCAACCCCCGGACUGCUCUGGAAACUGUACGGCUGGAGUGCAGGAGAGGUAAGUGGAAUUCCUAGUGUAGCGGUGAAAUGCGUAGAUAUUAGGAGGAACUCCGAUCGCGAAGGCAAGUGUCCGGGGUGCAACUGACGCUGAGGCUCGAAAGUGCGGGUAUCAAACAGGAUUAGAUACCCCUGUAGUC